CUAUAUUUAAAGAAAAUACAGAACUUUCUGCAGAAGCAAUGCAUUUUUAAGCGUUGGACGGCUUCAUUAUCGCAGUGACAACAGACGGCAGCAUCAUCUACGUCUCUGACAGUAUCACGCCUCUCCUUGGGCAUUUACCGUCGGAUGUCAUGGAUCAGAAUUUGUUAAAUUUCCUCCCAGAACAAGAACAUUCAGAAGUUUAUAAAAUCCUUUCUUCCCAUAUGCUUGUGACGGAUUCCCCUUCCCCAGAAUACUUAAAAUCUGACAGCGAUUUAGAGUUUUAUUGCCAUCUUCUCAGAGGCAGCUUGAACCCAAAGGAAUUUCCAACUUAUGAAUACAUAAAAUUUGUAGGAAAUUUUCGCUCUUACAACAAUGUGCCUAGCCCCUCCUGUAACGGUUUUGACAACACCCUUUCAAGACCUUGCCGGGUGCCACUAGGAAAGGAGGUUUGCUUCAUUGCCACCGUUCGUCUGGCAACACCACAAUUCUUAAAGGAAAUGUGCAUAGUUGACGAACCUUUAGAGGAAUUCACUUCAAGGCAUAGCUUGGAAU
rnacentral:sRNA from 1 species